UUUGCCAACAAGAUGUUCGUUGCAUAAAUCCGUAGGAUGGUGCUCUUCAUCUGUUCGCCGUUUUUACUAUGACACUGAAAGAAGAAUGUGUGCUCCAUUUAUUUAUGGAGGUUGCCUAGGCAAUAAUAAUAACUUUGAGACUAUGAAAGAGUGCAGGCAGGAAUGCCAGCAAUAUGGAACUUGGCCUGAAAUGUGUACACUGAAGAAAGACCCAGGCCCGUGCACUGCGUCCAUUCCUCAUUUUUACUUCGACUUUAACAGCAAGAGGUGCCUGCCACUCAUGUAUAGUGGCUGUCAGGGCAACAAUAACCUCUUUGGAAGUGUGGAAGAUUGCAAUCAUAUGUGCAGAGAUUAUAAAAGUUUCUGAGCCACUUCCACUUCCAGCGCAUAAAGAGGCCUUUGGGAACGUUAGUAGAUUGAGCUGGAGUGUCCUUCAUGCUUCUCGGUUCGAAUUCAGAAAUAUAUUCUCCAAUAAACAUGUCUGUUAUGAA